rnacentral:rRNA from 1 species
CCCUUAGAUGUUCUGGGCUGCACGCGCGCUACACUGAUGCGUUCAACGAGUUUAUGACCUUGCCCGAUAGGGUUGGGUAAUCUUUUUAAAUCGCAUCGUGAUGGGGAUAGAUUAUUGCAAUUAUUAAUCUUCAACGAGGAAUUCCUAGUAAGCGCGAGUCAUCAGCUCGUGCUGAUUACGUCCCUGCCCUUUGUACACACCGCCCGUCGCUCCUACCGAUUGGAUGAUCCGGUGAGCUAUUCGGACCUUCGCUUCGUCGAUUUUCGGCUUUGUGAGGGAAAGUCUCGCGAACCUUAUCAUCUAGAGGAAGGAGAAGUCGUANCA